GAACUAGGGAACAUAAAGUAGGCAUCUGUAGUGGAUAUCUACUUGGUGAAUAUGUUUUGUAAAUCCUGUCCACCCCGUGGAUGGGUAGUCGGCAAAACGUCGGACUGUCAUAAGAAUUGAAACGCUGGCACACUGUUGGGUCCUGAGGCAACACGUUGUGUUGUCACCCUGCUUGGUGGUGGGGUGUGGACUUUGACUUCUGAAUAGUGGUUGCGAGCAUCUAAACAUAGCCUCGCUCGUUUUCGAGUGGGGCUGGUUUUUGCAAUUUUAUUAGCUAAGUUCUUAAGGGCGCAUGGUGAAUGCCUUGGCACUAGAAGCCGAAGAAGGACGUAGGAG
rnacentral:misc_RNA from 1 species